UCCCUGGUAGCUCAGUGGUAGAGCAACCGGCUGUUAACCGGUUGGUCGCUGGUUCGAAUCCGGCCCGGGGAGCCA
rnacentral:tRNA from 19 species